rnacentral:lncRNA from 1 species
GGCCCACCUGCCUGGGCCCACCACUCUGAGGGUCAGUCUUUCCUCAACUGUGCACAUUUCUCCUACUUGUGGAAAGGACAUGGAGCCUCCACUCUGCCAGUCUUUACCUGUAGCGUUGCCUUCUUGAACCACAGAUGUUGGAGGUCCUAUGGCAGCAGAACCCCAGGAGAUGCGGCAGCCCACACAGACAAGCUUGUGUUUAAGGGCUCUGGCCAUCUGCUGUUGCUCCCCUUUCUCUGUGGCCAAAGCCCCACUCUGGAAAUUUCCAUCAUCGGUGGUCGUGUGUCGAUCACAGCACACUGGGUUCACUCCAUGGCCUCAUCCUUGGGUAGUGACUUCCCACCCGUCCAGUGCUCCUCUCCAGCCUCAGUCACCAGCAUCUCCUACUUGGAUUAUUGCAACAGCUCCUAAGCAUCAGCAUCAAGCACCAACGCAGAUGAAUCCUCCUCCUACAGACAUUAGAUCAUGUCACACCUCUGCCCAGAACCUCCCAGUGGCUUCCAGUAUCAUGUUGAAUAAAAGAAAA